rnacentral:rRNA from 1 species
CCUACGGGUGGCAGCAGUGGGGGAUAUUGCACAAUGGGGGGAACCCUGAUGCAGCGACGCCGCGUGGGUGAAGAAGCGCCUCGGCGCGUACAGCCCUGUCAGCAGGGAAGCAAAUGACGGUACCUGAAGAAGAAGCCCCGGCUAACUACGUGCCAGCAGCCGCGGUAAUACGUAGGGGGCAAGCGUUAUCCGGAUUUACUGGGUGGAAAGGGGGCGCAGACGGCGAUGCAAGCCAGGAGUGAAAGCCCGGGGACCAACCCCGGGACUGCUCUUGGAACUGCGUGGCUGGAGUGAAGGAGGGGUAUGCGGAAUUCCUGGUGUAGCGGUGAAAUGCGUAGAUAUCAGGAGGAACACCGGUGGCGAAGGCGGCCUGCUGGCCUGCAACUGACGUUGAGGCCCGAAAGCGUGGGGAGCAAACAGGAUUAGAGACCCUAGUAGUC